rnacentral:rRNA from 1 species
GAUGAACGCUGGCGGCGUGCUUAACACAUGCAAGUCGAACGAAGCACUUUAUUUGAUUUCCUUCGGGACUGAUUAUUUUGUAACUGAGUGGCGGACGGGUGAGUAACGCGUGGGUAACCUGCCUUGUACAGGGGGAUAACAGUUGGAAACGGCUGCUAAUACCGCAUAAGCGCACAGCAUCGCAUGAUGCAGUGUGAAAAACUCCGGUGGUAUAAGAUGGACCCGCGUUGGAUUAGCUAGUUGGUGAGGUAACGGCCCACCAAGGCGACGAUCCAUAGCCGACCUGAGAGGGUGACCGGCCACAUUGGGACUGAGACACGGCCCAAACUCCUACGGGAGGCAGCAGUGGGGAAUAUUGCACAAUGGGCGAAAGCCUGAUGCAGCGACGCCGCGUGAGCGAAGAAGUAUUUCGGUAUGUAAAGCUCUAUCAGCAGGGAAGAUAAUGACGGUAC